rnacentral:rRNA from 1 species
CCUACGGGAGGCAGCAGUGGGGAAUUUUGGACAAUGGGCGCAAGCCUGAUCCAGCCAUGCCGCGUGCAGGAUGAAGGCCUUCGGGUUGUAAACUGCUUUUGUACGGAACGAAAAGACUCUGGUUAAUACCUGGGGUCCAUGACGGUACCGUAAGAAUAAGCACCGGCUAACUACGUGCCAGCAGCCGCGGUAAUACGUAGGGUGCGAGCGUUAAUCGGAAUUACUGGGCGUAAAGCGUGCGCAGGCGGUUAUAUAAGACAGAUGUGAAAUCCCCGGGCUCAACCUGGGAACUGCAUUUGUGACUGUAUAGCUAGAGUACGGCAGAGGGGGAUGGAAUUCCGCGUGUAGCAGUGAAAUGCGUAGAUAUGCGGAGGAACACCGAUGGCGAAGGCAAUCCCCUGGGCCUGUACUGACGCUCAUGCACGAAAGCGUGGGGAGCAAACAGGAUUAGAUACCCUGGUAGUCCACGCCCUAAACGAUGUCAACUGGUUGUUGGGUCUUCACUGACUCAGUAACGAAGCUAACGCGUGAAGUUGACCGCCUGGGGAGUACGGCCGCGAAGGUUGAAACGUCAAAUGAAAUUGACGG